rnacentral:rRNA from 1 species
ACCGGCGGCUCGAGUGGUGGCCACUAUUACUGGGCUUAAAGCGUUCGUAGCUGGCUUGUUAAGUCUCUGGGGAAAUCUUCCGGCUCAACCGGAAGGCGUCUCAGGGAUACUGGCAGGCUAGGGACCGGAAGAGGUGAGAGGUACUCCAGGGGUAGCGGUGAAAGCGUGCAGUCCUGGGGGGGCAACAUGGGGGGAAGGCGUCUCACCAGGACGGCUCCGACCGUGAGGAGCGAAAGCGGGGGGAGCAAACCG